rnacentral:rRNA from 1 species
AACCUGCCCAAGAGAUCGGGAUAACACCUGGAAACAGAUGCUAAUACCGGAUAACAACAGAUGAUGCCUAUCAACUGUUUAAAAGAUGGUUCUGCUAUCACUCUUGGAUGGACCUGCGGUGCAUUAGCUAGUUGGUAGGGUAACGGCCUACCAAGGCGAUGAUGCAUAGCCGAGUUGAGAGACUGAUCGGCCACAUUGGGACUGAGACACGGCCCAAACUUCUACGGGAGGCAGCAGGA